UACGGGGGGUGCAAACGUUGCUCGGAAUUAUUGGGCGUAAAGCGCACGUAGGCGGUCUGCUAAGUCGGGUGUGAAAGCCCCGGGCUCAACCCGGGAAGUGCACUCGAAACUGACAGGCUUGAGUACGGAAGAGGGUCUCGGAAUUCCCGGUGUAGAGGUGAAAUUCGUAGAUAUCGGGAGGAACACCAGUGGCGAAGGCGGAGACCUGGGCCGAUACUGACGCUGAGGUGCGAAAGCGUGGGGAGCAAACAGG
rnacentral:rRNA from 1 species